UCCGUAGGUGAACCUGCGGAAGGAUCAUAGUUAUGGAGAGGGUCAACGUCCUUCACGGGACGCCCCUCGUUCACAUUAUGGAUGCAAUGCCUUAACCGGCUAGCGGAUCGUCCCCUGUGACGCCGCACAUCUUUUGAAAGUCUUUGACUACGCUUGAGUAACAUUACUACAAUGAAAUACAACCAGUAACGUUGGAUCCCUUGGCAUGUCAUUCGAUGAAGACCGUUGCAAAAUGCGAUAAGUGGUGUGAUAUGCAAGUCCAAAACUUAUACGUGAACCAUCGAAUUGUUGAACGCACUGCAUCGAUCCUUACCCAGGAACGAUAUGCCCCAUUGAGCGUCAUUAUGUCUUCGCGACCUCAUCUUUCAUUAGGUGUUGUCCGGGUUCGGGAUUCACGGCCUUCAGGUCGCGUCUCCUUAGAUACAUUGCUGCGCAGGAGUCACUGGCGUCCUUGUCAUAAAUGUCGAGGCGCGUCUAUAGUGUGCACCGGUGCAAGAUCAGGUUCCUUGUUGACCAGAUCAAUUGCGAGACCUUUGUUGGGAUUGCAACUUCAAUACAUGACCUCACGGGGGCAGGAUGACCCGCUAGACUUAAGCAUAUUAAUCAGCGGAGGAAAAGAAACUAACUAGGAUUCCCCCAGUAACUGCGAGUGAAGAGGGAUGAGCUCAAUGUGUGAAUCUGGCGG
rnacentral:rRNA from 1 species